rnacentral:lncRNA from 1 species
CAUGUGGCAUAUAGAAUCAAUGGCCGAACAAGUCUCCGAGCGACUAGUGCAGAUAGUACAGCAUAGUGCAAUCUCGAUACUCGAGAUAAGAAAGGAUGCUGCCAUCCAAAAUGGUUGAUAAGGAAAGAGCAUAAUAGCUCGUGUGGAGAUUACACGGCCAGAAUUGCGACGGACCCUCACUCUUCUCGUUAUAUAAACCAUAUUAAUUAGAGGACUCCAGAUAUGGGAUUUUUCAUCUCGCUCUUACCUCAUUAUUCUUAUCAGAUCUCUACUAUUCAUUCUUCAAACUUUGCCUGACUUAAGCAUUUGAGGGUCCCUUCCCAGACAUGUUCCAGCAAUCUCUGGUCGCUUCUCUUUGGUUGCAGGUAGCUCUUAUACCGUGCAUCCCACUUCGUCGAGUAAUGCGGGCCGGUCUCCAUCCGCCAGAUCACCAACUCUUUCAAGUCGGGUUUUGGGCGGCAAUAGUGAGAUUUAACUCCAUCAGAGGUUUAACAGUAUCUAUCCAUAAUUAGCACAGAUUUGUGGAUCAAUAGUGAGAUUAAUGUGGAACAAUUGCAGAAUGAGAUGGAUUUCUGUGGGAUGAAAAGGAAUGAAAACCAAACAACCAUAUAAAAAAUAUCAAUGAUGAAUAAUCAUCUAAAGAAAACUAUAAAUUGAUCGGGUUGCCUCUUUUGUUGCGCAUCAUUUAGGAGAGUUUUGCUGGGAGAGUCAUGUGUCUACUCUCUCCCCUCUUAGUCGACUUCUUCUUUUUGAUCUUUAUAGAUGUACUCACAUAUAGUAUGAGUUACCAUUGUAUCCAAA